rnacentral:rRNA from 1 species
GGGGGAAUUUUGGGCAACGGGCGAAAGCCUGAUCCAGCAAUGCCGCGUGCAGGAUGAAGGCCUUAGGGUUGUAAACUGCUUUUGUACGGAACGAAAAGGUCUGCCUUAAUACGGUGGGCCCAUGACGGUACCGUAAGAAUAAGCACCGGCUAACUACGUG